UCCUUUAUUCGACGAUUUCUUCAAUGGACAGAAUUAUUAGAUCCUACAAAUGUGUUCAUUUCAGUUGAAAGUAUAGAAAACUCGAGGCAACUAUUGUGCACAAAUGAAGAUGUUUCCAGCCCUGCCUCGGCGGACCAAAGGAUACAAGAAGCUUGGAAGCGGAGUCUUGUAAGUUUCAGCCCCUUCCUAAUUUUUAGUGUCCUAUAAUAACAAAACCAGACAUCCAGCUAACCUUGCAUCUCUCCUUUUGAAGGCAACAGUGCAUCCCGACAGCAGCAACCUGAUCCCCAAGCUUUUUCGACCUGCAGCGUUCCUGCCUUUCAUGGCACCCACGGUAUUUUUGUCAAUGACGCCACUGAAAGGGAUCAAGUCCGUGAUUUUACCUCAGGUUUUCCUCUGUGCCUACAUGGCAGCGUUCAACAGCAUCAAUGGAAACAGAAGUUACACUUGUAAGCCACUAGAAAGAUCAUUACUAAUGGCGGGAGCCGUUGCUUCUUCAACUUUCUUAGG
rnacentral:lncRNA from 1 species